rnacentral:rRNA from 1 species
CCUACGGGAGGCAGCAGUGGGGAAUAUUGCACAAUGGGGGAAACCCUGAUGCAGCGACGCCGCGUGAGUGAUGAAGUAUUUCGGUAUGUUAAGCUCUAUCAGCAGGGAAGUUAAUGACGGUACCUGACUCAGAAGCUCCGGCUAAAUACGUGCCAGCAGCCGCGGUAAUACGUAUGGAGCAAGCGUUAUCCGGAUUUACUGGGUGUAAAGGGAGCGCAGACGGCAUGGCAAGUCUGAUGUGAAAGUCCGGGGCUCAACCCUGGGACUGCAUUGGAAACUGUCCGGCUAGAGUGCAGGAGAGGUAAGUGGAAUUCCUAGUGUAGCGGUGAAAUGCGUAGAUAUUAGGAGGAACACCAGUGGCGAAGGCGGCUUACUGGACUGUAACUGACGUUGAGGCUCGAAAGCGUGGGGAGCAAACAGGAUUAGAUACCCCUGUAGUC